AUGUUUGACUGGGGAUGGCAAUGGAGAGUGAGGGAAUUUGGAAAGAAUGGAUACAUGAUGAGAUUUCCCAAUAAGGCAAAGUUGGUGGAGUUGGCCAAGUUUAAUGACUUUAACUUGUUGGGAACAGGGGUGGUGAUCAAGGUUCAACCCUGGUCUCUUGACCAUCAGGCUGUUGGGAAGAUGCAUACCUUUUGGGUCAAGCUGACCAAAGUACCAGAUUGUUUUAGGCACUUUUUAGGUGUUUGUGAAGUUGCCGCUGCAGUUGGGCCUGUCUUAGAGAUUGAUAUGGACACUAUAAAUAAGGAGAAAAUUAGAGCAAAGUGUGGAAUCAGGGAUGUGGAUAAAAUACCAGCUCAAGUUGAGAUCACUUCACCUGAUCUCCUUAUGUUCAGAAUUGGGGUGGAAGCUGAAAAAGGGGUGGAAAUUGGCUGGUACAAGGAAGAGAAGAGGAAAAAUGACAACAAUAAUAUCUCAGAAGAGGGAGAGGAAGAGAUUGACAACGGGAAGAUGACCAAAUUGGAAGACAAUGAGCACAAGGGGGUUUCUCUGGGAUGUUUAUCCCUGAAACAGAGUGAAGAGGUUGAUGGAAGAAUUGAAAGGAUGAAAUCUCAGAUGGAAGAAAACAUGAUACAAUGGCAAAGUGAGAGAACUUUAGAGAGAAGAAAAUGGCAAAAAGAAAGUGAAAUCAUGCUCAGUAAAAUAAAAGCUUUGGAGGAAGACAAAGUCAGGAAUAAUGCAUUGUGGGCAAAAAAUAAAAACAGAAUUAGAGAAUUAGAGAGGAUUCAGACAGAGCUGCAGGAGACUAGUAAAAAACAACUAGAAGAUAUCCAGAAGUUGGCACAAGAGGCUGCUAAUAGGGAGGAAUAUGAAAUGGAAUUAGCAAACAUGGACCUUGAAGAUUAUGAGAAAGAGACUCAGCAGAAAAAAGAAGAUACUGAUUCAGGGAAAUAUAAUGAGCCCACUGACUAUAAUGCUAGCCAAGAAUCUAUUGGGACUUUGGGGGAGAAAAUGGCUGAAAUACAUGGGAGUGGGGUCCUGGACAAAGAAGGGGAAGAAAAAGAUGUUGAGAUCAAGAGAAGUCUUAGGAACAAGGGGAAGGAGGACAAGAAAAUUGAAGAUAUGGCUAAAAGCAGAGCUUAG
rnacentral:rRNA from 1 species